rnacentral:rRNA from 1 species
UGGGGAAUUUUCCGCAAUGGGCGAAAGCCUGACGGAGUGACGCCGCGUGGGGGACGAAGGCCUUCGGGUCGUAAACCCCUGUCAGAGGGAAAGAAGGGUCGGCGCGUGAAUAGCGCGUCGAUCUGACGGUACCUUCAGAGGAAGCCCCGGCCAACUCUGUGCCAGCAGCCGCGGUAAGACAGAGGGGGCAAGCGUUGCUCGGAAUUACUGGGCGUAAAGGGCGCGUAGGCGGGAUGGCAAGUCGGUCGUGAAAUCCCUGGGCUCAACUCAGGGGGGUCGGCCGAUACUGCCGUUCUUGAGGGAUGCGGAGGAGACUGGAAUUCCCGGUGUAGCGGUGAAAUGUGUAGAGAUCGGGAGGAACACCGGUGGCGAAGGCGGGUCUCUGGGCAUUCCCUGACGCUGAGGCGCGAAAGCGUGGGGAGCAAACGGGAUUAGAUACCCCGGUAGUCCACGCGGUAAACGAUGACGACUAGGUGUGGGGGGGUUAAGUCCCUUCCGUGCCGCAGCUAACGCAUUAAGUCGUCCGCCUGGGGAGUACGGCCGCAAGGUUGA